GCCCGGCUGGCGUAAUGGUUAACGCGUAAGGCUUCUACUUAUAUGAGUCACCUUAAGAUUGCGAGUUCGAGUCUCGCGUCGGGUU
rnacentral:tRNA from 1 species